rnacentral:rRNA from 1 species
AGAGCGAACGCUGGCGGCAGGCCUAAUACAUGCAAGUCGAACGGAUCCUUCGGGAUUAGUGGCGGACGGGUGAGUAACACGUGGGAACGUACCCUUUGGUUCGGAACAACUCAGGGAAACUUGAGCUAAUACCGAAUGUGCCCUUCGGGGGAAAGAUUUAUCGCCAUUGGAGCGGCCCGCGUCUGAUUAGCUAGUUGGUAGGGUAAAGGCCUACCAAGGCUACGAUCAGUAGCUGGUCUGAGAGGAUGAUCAGCCACACUGGGACUGAGACACGGCCCAGACUCCUACGGGAGGCAGCAGUAGGGAAUCUUGCGCAAUGGGCGAAAGCCUGACGCAGCCAUGCCGCGUGAAUGAUGAAGGUCUUAGGAUUUGUAAAAUUCUUUCAGCGGGGACGAUAAUGACGGUACCCGCAGAAGAAGCCCCGGCUAACUUCGUGCCAGCAGCCGC